rnacentral:misc_RNA from 1 species
AUAUUUCAUUUGGAAGGUCAUUCAUUGACCAGUAUAUAUACUAAAGUUUGACCUACUACACUGUAUGUAUCAAAUUUGAAUCUUUUUUACCAUUUACAUGCCUCACCAUGUUGUGUACAGUAUUGUUUGAAAUCAUGCUGGGAUGGUGUAUGUUACAUUGUUAGUCAUCAUCUUUUAUAUAGAUAUUCUUACCUAGCCCUUAAUUAAAAAAUUAUUUACAUGGCAAACGAGUGCUUAAUAGAUUUGUACAUAUGUAACUUUGGCUCUUCAGGUCUUGAUACGUGAGUCUUUUGGUUACAGACUGAGGAUUUAUCAAGAGUAGUAAAGAUGUGUUCACUAUUACCUUAUUAGAAAAAAGUCUCUGUUUCAUGCGAUUGCAUGUUUAUACAUUCAGUUGUGAAAAUAAGUUCUGCACACAAUAAAAAUCUUGUGUCACAGCUUGGUUCACAGACAGAUUUAUGUGCAUGUAAUAGAAAUGUCUCUUACAUUAUGCCAUCACAAGAAAUAAAUGGCUCAAGAAAAAUG